AAGCUUGCUUCUCUGAUGUUAGCGGCGGACGGGUGAGUAACACGUGGGUAACCUACCUAUAAGACUGGGAUAACUCCGGGAAACCGGGGCUAAUACCGGAUAAUAUUUUGAACCGCAUGGUUCAAUAGUGAAAGACGGUUUCGGCUGUCACUUAUAGAUGGACCCGCGCCGUAUUAGCUAGUUGGUAAGGUAACGGCUUACCAAGGCGACGAUACGUAGCCGACCUGAGAGGGUGAUCGGCCACACUGGAACUGAGACACGGUCCAGACUCCUACGGGAGGCAGCAGUAGGGAAUCUUCCGCAAUGGGCGAAAGCCUGACGGAGCAACGCCGCGUGAGUGAUGAAGGUCUUCGGAUCGUAAAACUCUGUUGUUAGGGAAGAACAAAUUUGUUAGUAACUGAACAAGUCUUGACGGUACCUAACCAGAAAGCCACGGCUAACUACGUGCCAGCAGCCGCGGUAAUACGUAGGUGGCAAGCGUUAUCCGGAAUUAUUGGGCGUAAAGCGCGCGUAGGCGGUUUCUUAAGUCUGAUGUGAAAGCCCACGGCUCAACCGUGGAGGGUCAUUGGAAACUGGGAAACUUGAGUGCAGAAGAGGAGAGUGGAAUUCCAUGUGUAGCGGUGAAAUGCGCAGAGAUAUGGAGGAACACCAGUGGCGAAGGCGGCUCUCUGGUCUGUAACUGACGCUGAUGUGCGAAAGCGUGGGGAUCAAACAGGAUUAGAUACCCUGGUAGUCCACGCCGUAAACGAUGAGUGCUAAGUGUUA
rnacentral:rRNA from 1 species